AGUUCGGAUCGCAGGCUGCAACCCGCCUGCGUGAAGUCGGAAUCGCUAGUAAUCGCGGAUCAGCAUGCCGCGGUGAAUACGUUCCCGGGCCUUGCACACACCGCCCGUCACACCAUGGGAGUCGGUAACACCCGAAGCCGAUAGUCUAACGAAAGAGGACGUCGUCGAAGGUGGGAUUGAUGACUGGGGUGAAGUCGUAACAAGGUAUC
rnacentral:rRNA from 1 species